GCGGGGGUGGCAGAGCAUGGCCAAAUGCGCAAGCCCGAGGCGCUUGUGCCUUUAGAGGCUCCGUGGGUUCAAAUCCCACCUCCCGCA
rnacentral:tRNA from 1 species